rnacentral:rRNA from 1 species
GUGAGCAGCCGCGGUAAAACGUAGGUCCCGAGCGUUGUUCGGAUUCACUGGGUGUAAAGGGCGCGUAGGCGGUUAUCCAAGUCAGGGGUGAAAACCUUGGGCUCAACCCAGGGCCUGCCUCUGAAACUGGGUGACUUGAGGGCAGGAGAGGGGAGUGGAAUUCCCGGUGUAGCGGUAAAAUGCGUAGAUAUCGGGAGGAACACCGGUGGCGAAGGCGGCUCUCUGGGCCGAUCCUGACGCUGAGGCGCGAAAGCUAGGGGAGCGAACCGGAUUAGAUACCCGGGUAGUCCUAGCCGUAAACGAUGGGUGCUAGGUGUUGGGGGGUAAAGACCCUUCAGUGCCGAAGCAAACGCGAUAAGCAUCCCACCUGGGGAGUACGGCCGCAAGGUUGAAACUCAAAGAAAUUGACGG